GUUCGGCCAGAGAAUGCGUUUGCAAGGAGGAAAUGGCGUCCAUCGCGCGUGCGCACAAGCAAGACAGACAAGUGAACCUCCUCCCCCUAAUCAGGAAGACUAUUUAUUCAUGAGCCCCGCCUCCUCCACCCCAUCCCCGGAUGGAAAGUAAGCUGCACAUGCCCACGGAGAAAGUAACUGGACCACACCGGCUCGGGACUGCCAGUACUGGACCUGUAUUCCAUCCGUCGAUUAUUUCUUAAGUGAUAAGCUCUGUACAGAAGACAGGAGAAAACAGAAGGAUCAGAGGCCUCUUAGGGAGUAGCAAAGCCCAGAAAGGAGCUUCAGAAAAAAUAAAGCAAGUGCACACAUAAAUCAGUCAGCCCAAAGAGGCAAGAAUGAGGGAGAGAAUUGGCCUACACAACAUCAAGACUGAUACAUCUAUAAGGAGCUGCCGGAGGAAACUCAAGGGUCAGCUCUUCUCAUUCAUGCAAUAGGAGAGGUCUGGAACACACCAGUGAGUCAGCAAAUCAAUGAUUUAUCCCUGGCUGUUUUGGGAGGCAGUCUCUCAAUUGUACUCAGAUGGGCUGAAAAUUUCAUCCUGUUUUUCUGAGCAACAAACGUCCUACAGUAACCAGAACAGGAGUCAGGAUGCAGUCAAUACACCAAUCUGUCUUAUGCCUUAGUUACAAAUUCACUUUCAGUGAGAAUCAAAAAUGCCAUAUUACCAAAAGUUUAAGAGUUCUCCAUUUCUUUUUUUGUUAUUUGUUUUGCAAAUAAACUCAUGGAAAACAAGUGAGGAAAACAA